rnacentral:rRNA from 1 species
UACAGAGGUGGCAAGCGUUGUUCGGAUUCAUUGGGCGUAAAGGGCGCGUAGGCUGCGGGGCAAGUCGGGUGUGAAAUCUCAGAGCUCAACUCUGAAACUGCACUCGAUACUGCUUUGCUCGAGGACUGGAGAGGAGAUUGGAAUUCACGGUGUAGCAGUGAAAUGCGUAGAUAUCGUGAGGAAGACCAGUGGCGAAGGCGGAUCUCUGGACAGUUCCUGACGCUGAGGCGCGAAGGCCAGGGGAGCAAACGGG